rnacentral:lncRNA from 1 species
CGAAGGGUGCCAGGCUGUGGGUCGGAACUGCUCUCUACAAGCUGCUGGGUGCGGAGCUCACAAAAGGGAUUUCUUUCGACAAGCUGGACAUUGGAAGAAGGCUGCGAGAAGGGAAUUGAACAUGAGAAACACUCUUGUGGGAGUGGAUUCUUACAGGAACACCCCAGUCACUGUGGCUUCAGCGUGGCUGCAUUUAUGAAAGGCUGGAAGUAGAAAACUCUGGAAUGGAGAGACUAGCAGCUGGAACAGGAUUCAAAGGCUUUAAAUUUUAACCCGAGUUCGAUCGAAAGUUACUACCACAAGAGACUGGCACGGGCCGGCCCAAUUCCCACCACGGCUUCCAGCGGCUUGCUUUGGGUUGUCCGGAUCAGAGAAGCACUCCAUAUCCCCUUGGGGUCAUGAGCAGAACGAUCUGAACCCCGGCAGAUGUGAUAGACCUGUGUCCCGGAAUCCCGGAACUGAACCCAGGAAGGGUGUAGACUCUCAAAGAUCCAAACCAGAACAAGAAGAAUCCUGUUCUCUAGCUAAGAAGACAGUGAAAGAGAUGCACAGAGGCAGAGCCCAUAGAGGG